UACGGGGGGGGCAAGCGUUGUUCGGAAUUACUGGGCGUAAAGGGCUCGUAGGUGGCCAACUAAGUCAUACGUGAAAUCCCUCAGCUUAACUGGGGAACUGCGUCUGAUACUGGAUGGCUUGAGUUUGGGAGAGGGAAGCGGAAUUCCGGGUGUAGCGGUGAAAUGCGUAGAUAUCCGGAGGAACACCGGUGGCGAAGGCGGCUUCCUGGACCGAUACUGACGCUGAGGCGCGAAAGCUAGGGGAGCAAACGGG
rnacentral:rRNA from 1 species